UCGAGGGGUAUAGUUCUUCGGAAUUAGAGACCGGCGCACGGGUGCGUAACGCGUAUGCAAUCUACCUUUUACAGAGGGAUAGCCCAGAGAAAUUUGGAUUAAUACCUCAUAGUAUGGCGACAUCGCAUGAUGAUGCCAUUAAAGUCGCAACGGUAAAAGAUGAGCAUGCGUCCCAUUAGCUAGUUGGUAAGGUAACGGCUUACCAAGGCUACGAUGGGUAGGGGUCCUGAGAGGGAGAUCCCCCACACUGGUACUGAGACACGGACCAGACUCCUACGGGAGGCAGCAGCGAGGAAUAUUGGACAAUGGGCGCAAGCCUGAUCCAGCCAUGCCGCGUGCAGGAUGACGGUCCUAUGGAUUGUAAACUGCUUUUGUACGGGAAGAAACACUCCUUCGUGAAGGAGCUUGACGGUACCGUAAGAAUAAGGAUCGGCUAACUCCGUGCCAGCAGCCGCGGUAAUACGGAGGAUCCAAGCGUUAUCCGGAAUCAUUGGGUUUAAAGGGUCCGUAGGCGGUUUAGUAAGUCAGUGGUGAAAGCCCAUCGCUCAACGGUGGAACGGCCAUUGAUACUGCUAGACUUGAAUUAUUAGGAAGUAACUAGAAUAUGUAGUGUAGCGGUGAAAUGCUUAGAGAUUACAUGGAAUACCAAUUGCGAAGGCAGGUUACUACUAAUGGAUUGACGCUGAUGGACGAAAGC
rnacentral:rRNA from 1 species